rnacentral:rRNA from 1 species
AUUGAACGCUGGCGGCAGGCCUAACACAUGCAAGUCGAGCGGAUGAAGGGAGCUUGCUCCUGGAUUCAGCGGCGGACGGGUGAGUAAUGCCUAGGAAUCUGCCUGGUAGUGGGGGAUAACGUCCGGAAACGGGCGCUAAUACCGCAUACGUCCUGAGGGAGAAAGUGGGGGAUCUUCGGACCUCACGCUAUCAGAUGAGCCCAGGUCGGAUUAGCUAGUUGGUGGGGUAAGGCCUACCAAGGCGACGAUCCGUAACUGGUCUGAGAGGAUGAUCAGUCACACUGGAACUGAGACACGGUCCAGACUCCUACGGGAGGCAGCAGUGGGGAAUAUUGGACAAUGGGCGAAAGCCUGAUCCAGCCAUGCCGCGUGUGUGAAGAAGGUCUUCGGAUUGUAAAGCACUUUAAGUUGGGAGGAAGGGCAGUAAGUUAAUACCUUGCUGUUUUGACGUUACCAACAGAAUAAGCACCGGCUAACUUCGUG